rnacentral:rRNA from 1 species
UGGGGAAUUUUGGACAAUGGGGGCAACCCUGAUCCAGCAAUGCCGCGUGUGUGAAGAAGGCCUUCGGGUUGUAAAGCACUUUUGUCCGGAAAGAAAACGCCGUGGUUAAUACCCGUGGCGGAUGACGGUACCGGAAGAAUAAGCACCGGCUAACUACGUGCCAGCAGCCGCGGUAAUACGUAGGGUGCAAGCGUUAAUCGGAAUUACUGGGCGUAAAGCGUGCGCAGGCGGUCCGCUAAGACAGAUGUGAAAUCCCCGGGCUUAACCUGGGAACUGCAUUUGUGACUGGCGGGCUAGAGUAUGGCAGAGGGGGGUAGAAUUCCACGUGUAGCAGUGAAAUGCGUAGAGAUGUGGAGGAAUACCGAUGGCGAAGGCAGCCCCCUGGGCCAAUACUGACGCUCAUGCACGAAAGCGUGGGGGAGCAAACAGGAUUCAGAUACCCUGGUAGUCCACGCCCUAAACGAUGUCAACUAGUUGUCGGUCUUCAUUGACUUGGUAACGUAGCUAACGCGUGAAGUUGACCGCCUGGGGAGUACGGUCGCAAGAUU